rnacentral:rRNA from 1 species
CAUUAGUGGCGAACGGGUGAGUAACACGUGAGUAACCUGCCCUUGACUCUGGGAUAAGCCUGGGAAACUGGGUCUAAUACUGGAUAUGACUUCUCACCGCAUGGUGGGGGGUGGAAAGAUUUAUUGGUCUUGGAUGGACUCGCGGCCUAUCAGCUUGUUGGUGAGGUAAUGGCUCACCAAGGCGACGACGGGUAGCCGGCCUGAGAGGGUGACCGGCCACACUGGGACUGAGACACGGCCCAGACUCCUACGGGAGGCAGCAGUGGGGAAUGUUGCACAAUGGGCGCAAGCCUGAUGCAGCGACGCCGCGUGAGGGAUGACGGCCUUCGGGUUGUAAACCUCUUUCAGUAGGGAAGAAGCGAAAGUGACGGUACCUGCAGAAGAAGCGCCGGCUAACUACGUGCCAGCAGCCGCGGUAAUACGUAGGGCGCGAGCGUUAUCCGGAAUUAUUGGGCGUAAAGAGCUCGUAGGCGGUUUGUCGCGUCUGCCGUGAAAGUCCGGGGCUUAACCCCGGAUCUGCGGUGGGUACGGGCAGACUAGAGUGCAGUAGGGGAGACUGGAAUUCCUGGUGUAGCGGUGAAAUGCGCAGAUAUCAGGAGGAACACCGAUGGCGAAGGCAGGUCUCUGGGCUGUAACUGACGCUGAGGAGCGAAAGCAUGGGGAGCGAACAGGAUUAGAUACCCUGGUAGUCCAUGCCGUAAACGUUGGGCACUAGGUGUGGGGGACAUUCCACGUUUUCCGCGCCGUAGCUAACGCAUUAAGUGCCCCGCCUGGGGAGUACGGCCGCAAGGCUAAAACUCAAAGGAAUUGACGGGGGCCCGCACAAGCGGCGGAGCAUGCGGAUUAAUUCGAUGCAACGCGAAGAACCUUACCAAGGCUUGACAUGUUCCUGACCGCCGUAGAGAUACGGUUUCCCCUUUGGGGCAGGUUCACAGGUGGUGCAUGGUUGUCGUCAGCUCGUGUCGUGAGAUGUUGGGUUAAG